rnacentral:rRNA from 1 species
UACGGGGGGAGCAAGCGUUGUUCGGAAUUACUGGGCGUAAAGGGCGCGUAGGCGGCCCGCUAAGUCGAACGUGAAAUCCCCAGGCUCAACCUGGGAACUGCGUCCGAUACUGGCAGGCUUGAAUCCGGGAGAGGGAUGUGGAAUUCCAGGUGUAGCGGUGAAAUGCGUAGAUAUCUGGAGGAACACCGGUGGCGAAGGCGGCAUCCUGGACCGGUAUUGACGCUGAGGCGCGAAAGCUAGGGGAGCAAACGGG